GGUUAAGCGACUAAGCGUACACGGUGGAUGCCCUGGCAGUCAGAGGCGAUGAAGGACGUGCUAAUCUGCGAUAAGCGUCGGUAAGGUGAUAUGAACCGUUAUAACCGGCGAUUUCCGAAUGGGGAAACCCAGUGUGAUUCGUCACACUAUCAUUAACUGAAUCCAUAGGUUAAUGAGGCGAACCGGGGGAACUGAAACAUCUAAGUACCCCGAGGAAAAGAAAUCAACCGAGAUUCCCCCAGUAGCGGCGAGCGAACGGGGAGGAGCCCAGAGCCUGAAUCAGUGUGUGUGUUAGUGGAAGCGUUUGGAAAGGCGCGCGAUACAGGGUGACAGCCCCGUACACAAAAAUGCACAUGCUGUGAGCUCGAUGAGUAGGGCGGGACACGUGGUAUCCUGUCUGAAUAUGGGGGGACCAUCCUCCAAGGCUAAAUACUCCUGACUGACCGA
rnacentral:rRNA from 1 species